CAACGUCUUCAUAUAGACUUAAGGUGUUGGAAGCUGUUCCCAUUCCAGCCAUGCAGGUGACCUACUCCAACUCAAGUACAGGACUUUGUAACAUCACAGUGAAUUGUUCAGGCUGGAUGUUUUCUGUCUGUGAUGGAGGUCAGUGCCCACUGUACCAGGAAUCUCUGUCAGUCUCUGAGGUCAACAUCACCGUCUCCAGUGGUAAUGGAUUCAUCCAGUGUAUCGUCAACAAUCAUGUCAAUGCAGAGACCAAAUCACAACUCAUGGAGGACAUAUGUAUUGUUGAGAAGAAGGGGAGAGCUGCAGCAUCAACAGUUGGCACCAUUGUGGGUGGUGUUAGUGGUGGAUUGUUCUUCAUUGUGUUAGUUGGUGUAGGAUGGAUCAUGUCAACCAGAAGACGGUGUAAAUAAGAACUGUCAAUGCAGUGAGCUCUCUACCAGGGGAGAGUCUGGAACCACAGAACACAGUGGGUCCUGAGGUAACAUCAAUCUACGACACUGCAGGGAGACCAGGAGCAGCAGUACCAGCAGCAGUAGCAGGAGGAGAAGAGGGCCAACCAGGGUACAAGUACACCACCAGAAGAGAGGAAAGAACUAAAGUUCCCCCAACAGGCAGAUGCAUUUUACAGCACUGUGCAGCAACCAGCGGUACAAGAUCCCCAUCAAGUGGACAAAGUGUGCUCUCCACCAGAAGAGAGGCCAGGACCACAGAGCCCUUCUGAGGCAGAGCCUAUAUCAGUCUUCUACAGUCUUCUACAGAAUAGUAUAGAAACCAGCUGCAGCACAGCGCCACCCAAAGAGUGGAA
rnacentral:lncRNA from 1 species